rnacentral:rRNA from 1 species
GAUGAACGCUAGCUACAGGCUUAACACAUGCAAGUCGAGGGGUAACGAGAGGGAAGCUUGCUUUCCUUGUCGACGACCGGCGCACGGGUGAGUAACGCGUAUCCAACCUGCCCCCAACUAGGGAAUAACCUUGCGAAAGUAAGACUAAUACCCUAUAAUUUCCUCAGAUGUCAUCUGACGAGGAUAAAGAUUUAUCGGUUGUGGAUGGGGAUGCGUCUGAUUAGCUUGUUGGCGGGGUAACGGCCCACCAAGGCAACGAUCAGUAGGGGUUCUGAGAGGAAGGUCCCCCACAUUGGAACUGAGACACGGUCCAAACUCCUACGGGAGGCAGCAGUGAGGAAUAUUGGUCAAUGGGCGGAAGCCUGAACCAGCCAAGUAGCGUGCAGGAUGACGGCCCUAUGGGUUGUAAACUGCUUUUAUACAGGAAUAAAGUUAGCCACGUGUGGUUAUUUGUAGGUACUGUAUGAAUAAGGACCGGCUAAUUCCGUGCCAGCCGCCGCAGUAA